rnacentral:rRNA from 2 species
UGGGGAAUAUUGCACAAUGGGGGAAACCCUGAUGCAGCAACGCCGCGUGAAGGAAGAAGGUUUUCGGAUCGUAAACUUCUAUCAAUAGGGAAGAAAGAAAUGACGGUACCUAAAUAAGAAGCCCCGGCUAACUACGUGCCAGCAGCCGCGGUAAUACGUAGGGGGCAAGCGUUAUCCGGAAUUACUGGGUGUAAAGGGAGCGUAGGCGGCAUGGUAAGCCAGAUGUGAAAGCCUCGAGCUUAACUUGAGGAUUGCAUUUGGAACUAUCAAGCUAGAGUACAGGAGAGGAAAGCGGAAUUCCUAGUGUAGCGGUGAAAUGCGUAGAUAUUAGGAAGAACACCAGUGGCGAAGGCGGCUUUCUGGACUGAAACUGACGCUGAGGCUCGAAAGCGUGGGGAGCGAACA